rnacentral:rRNA from 1 species
GAUGAACGCUGGCGGCGUGCCUAAUACAUGCAAGUCGAGCGAACAGACGAGGAGCUUGCUCCUCUGACGUUAGCGGCGGACGGGUGAGUAACACGUGGAUAACCUACCUAUAAGACUGGGAUAACUUCGGGAAACCGGCGCUAAUACCGGAUAAUAUAUUGAACCGCAUGGUUCAAUAGUGAAAGACGGUUUUGCUGUCACUUAUAGAUGGAUCCGCGCCGCAUUAGCUAGUUGGUAAGGUAACGGCUUACCAAGGCAACGAUGCGUAGCCGACCUGAGAGGGUGAUCGGCCACACGGGAACUGAGACACGGUCCAGAGUCCUACGGGAGGCAGCAGUAGGGAAUCUGCCGCAAUGGGCGAAAGCUUGACGGAGCAACGCCGCGUGAGUGAUGAAGGUCUUCGGAUCGUAAAACUCUGUUAUUAGGGAAGAACAAAUGUGUAAGUAACUAUGGACGGCUUGACGGUACCUAAUCAGAAAGCCACGGCUAACUACGUG